AAAUGCGAUAAGUAAUGUGAAUUGCAGAAUUCAGUGAAUCAUCAAAUCUUUGAACGCACAUUGCGCCCGCCAGUAUUCUGGCGGGCAUGCCUGUUCGAGCGUCAUUUCAACCAUCAAGCCCCCCGGCUUGUGUUGGGGACCUGCGGCUGCCCGCAGGCCCUGAAAAACAGUGGCGGGCUCGCUGUCACACCGAGCGUAGUAGCAUACAUUCUCGCUCAGGGCGUGCUGCGGGUUCCGGCCGUUAAACGACCUUCAUAACCCAAGGUUGACCUCGGAUCAGGUAGGAAGACCCGCUGAACUUAAGC
rnacentral:misc_RNA from 1 species